rnacentral:rRNA from 1 species
GCGAAGCUCUUGAUCGAAGCCCGAGUAAACGGCGGCCGUAACUAUAACGGUCCUAAGGUAGCGAAAUUCCUUGUCGGUUAAAUACCGACCUGCAUGAAUGGCGUAACGAGAUGGGAGCUGUCUCAAAGAGGGAUCCAGUGAAAUUGUAGUGGAGGUGAAAAUUCCUCCUACCCGCGGCAAGACGGAGAGACCCCGUGGACCUUUACUACAGCUUGACACUGCUAUUUGGAUAAAGAUGCGCAGGAUAGGUGGGAGGCUUUGAUCCAUAGACUCUGGUUUAUGGUGAGCCAUUGUUGAGAUACCACUCUUCUUUAUUUGGGUAGCUAACUAGCUUGAGUUAUCCUCAAGUAGGACAAUGUCUGGUGGGUAGUUUGACUGGGGCGGUCGCCUCCCAAAAUGUAACGGAGGCUUACAAAGUUG